UGGUAUUUAGUCUCGGGGAUCCAAGCACGUAUUGUCAUCAAAUAUUUCACCUCGUCAGAGUCGGUUUGCAAAAAUUUGAAUAGUCAAAAUAUUAACAGAAAAUUUUUUUUUUAUAAUGUUGGAAUAAAGUCAUAAUAUUUUACAUGAGGAAAGUAGAUAUUGUAUAGCUGGAAAAGUAAAAGGGGCAAUAAAGUAGAAAAUAUACAAGAAGGUUGAAAUAAUUUUAUUAAAUUUUACUACAAUAGAGUGAAAAUAUUAAAGAAAUAUAUUAAAAUAUUUAAUAAAAAAUCUUAAAAUAAAUACAAAUAUUUAUUACAUGAGGAAAGUAGAUAUUGUAUAGCCGGAAAAGUAAAAGGGGCAAUAAAGUAGAAAAUAUACAAGAAGGUUGAAAUCAUUUUAUUAGAUUUUACUACAAUAAAGUGAAAAUAUUUAAAACAAUAUUAAAUAUAUAAAUAUGAAAUAUUAAAAUAUUUAAUAAAAUAUUAAAAUAAAUAAAAAUAUUUAUUACUUGAGGAAAGUAGAUAUUGUAUAGCUGGAAAAGUAAAAGGGGCAAUAAAGUGAAAAUAUUAAA